CUCCAGACUCCUACGGGAGGCAGCAGUGGGGAAUAUUGCACAAUGGGCGAAAGCCUGAUGCAGCAACGCCGCGUGAAGGAAGAAGGGUUUCGGCUCGUAAACUUCUAUCAACAGGGACGAAAGAAAUGACGGUACCUGAAUAAGAAGCCCCGGCUAACUACGUGCCAGCAGCCGCGGUAAUACGUAGGGGGCAAGCGUUAUCCGGAAUUACUGGGUGUAAAGGGUGAGUAGGCGGCAUGGUAAGCCAGAUGUGAAAGCCUUGGGCUUAACCCGAGGAUUGCAUUUGGAACUAUCAAGCUAGAGUACAGGAGAGGAAAGCGGAAUUCCUAGUGUAGCGGUGAAAUGCGUAGAUAUCAGGAGGAACAUCGGUGGCGAAAGCGCUUUACUGGACCAUUAUUGACGCUGAGGAACGAAAGCCAGGGGAGCAAAUGGGAUUAGAUACCCCAGUA
rnacentral:rRNA from 1 species